ensembl:lncRNA
CGCGUGCCUCCCUGAGAGCUGUUGGAGUUGGCAAACCUUGGGAUACUCAAACAAAUUGCCAAGCUCAUGACGCUGGCUUCGGGCUGAACACUUUGGUGAUCUCCGCAUGUUGUAUACAUGCCCCCUUCUGUCGGUCCGGCUCUUUGUCUGUUUCGCCAGACUUCACCGGAAUCACUCAGCGGCAUGAAACACAGGGGGCGGGUGUUUCCUGCUGGGGUAAGCGGACACUUUACUGGAGCAAACGGCGCAUUGACUCAUACCUUCUAUAAGGAGAUUCUCAAGUUUUACCCAGGGUGGAAGUCAGUGUGACAUUGGUUGGGAGAAGGUGAAUGUUUUGCUUAUGACCGUGGUGGGACGGGACACUUUGUAUGUACAGCUACCCGCUCAAGGCUUCCUGGUCUGGUAUACCCUGGGCCAGCUUGGAGGGUUAUGGGACAAACACCCGUGGCGUUUCACCGAGUGACCAAUCAGAAGGGGACGUCCACGACCACUGUUCACGGAACCCGACGCAACACCUCACUGGCUGAUGAAGACCAGAUCUGGAUCAGAGAGUGUGACACAGCUGUGAUUUGAGUGGCAAAAGCUGGGAUCGAUGGCUCUCCCCCACAACUCAAAGUAUCCCUUUUACACAUGGAGUCUGUCAAAUUCCCAAUAGCUCUCAGCAGGAGGGGGAGGGGGGGGGGGACACCAAACUGAGAGCAGAACAUGGGGGAAUAGUAGCGCACUGCGUGAGAUAAAAGGAUGAAGAAGAUGGUGAAGAUGGAGAAAUUGGAUAGCAGACUGUAGACUAAAAGGUUUGCUGGCCAAAAAAUGACCAGAAAAACACAAAAAGUUCCUUCAAAGGUUGUCAAACAACCUAUAGAUUGUCAUCCAAACUUUAGCUGUUUUUCUGUCUUACAAUCGGGAAUUCAAAGUAACUGAAUUGGGAUUUUCUGUCAUUGAUCUGCUGCAUAAAAGUGGUGAAUGAAGUAGUAUUCAGGCCCCUCUGCUAUGACACCAUCAGAUAAGCUAUUCUGGAAACCAAUUGCUGUCAGAAGUCACAUGAUUAGUUGAAUAGAGUCUACCGGUUUGAAAUAAAUGUUACAUGAUUAGCUGAAUUGAGUCUACUGGUUUGAAAUGAAUGUCACAACAUCUCUGGUUAAUUCACCUGAUUCUCAAAGGCCCCAGAGUGCGAUAGAGCAUUUCAAUCAAAUGUAUUUAUGAAGCCCUUUUUACAACAGCAGUUGUCACAAAGUGCUUUACAGAGACACCCGGCCUUAAACCCCAAG